AGCAGCCGCGGUAAUUCCAGCUCCAAUAGCGUAUAUUAAAGUUGUUGCAGUUAAAAAGCUCGUAGUUGAAUUUCGGGAUCAAUAUGUCGGUCGUGCCUUCGGUACGUACUGGUAUCAUUGGUCUCUCCUUUCUGACGAACCAUGAUGUCAUUAAUUUGGUGUUAUGGGGAGUUAGGACUGUUACUUUGAAAAAUUAGAGUGUUUAAAGCAGGCUUUAGCUUGAAUACAUUAGCAUGGAAUAAUGAAAUAGGACGUUCGAACCUAUUUUGUUGGUUUCUAGGAUCAACGUAAUGAUUAAUAGGGAUAGUUGGGGGCAUUAGUAUUCAAUUGUCAGAGGUGAAAUUCUUGGAUUUAUUGAAGACUAACUACUGCGAAAGCAUUUGCCAAGGAUGUUUUCAUUAAUCAAGAACGAAAGUUAGGGGGUCGAAGACGAUCAGAUACCGUCGUAGUCUUAACCAUAAACUAUGCCGACUAGGGAUCGGAUGAUG
rnacentral:rRNA from 1 species